rnacentral:rRNA from 1 species
UAGGGAAUCUUCGGCAAUGGGGGCAACCCUGACCGAGCAACGCCGCGUGAGUGAAGAAGGUUUUCGGAUCGUAAAGCUCUGUUGUAAGAGAAGAACGUGUGUGAGAGUGGAAGUUCACACAGUGACGGUAACUUACCAGAAAGGGACGGCUAACUACGUGCAG